UUUUCGUUUAUAGCAUGUAAGGCUUUUAAGGAACAUUUGUGUCAAGGUCCAGUUCUGAUGAUAGGUUCUACGAGAAACUGAAGGAGCUUCUCAUAUUGUAUAGGAUAGGCAUACAUAUAGUCAUUUUAGGAUUUUCAUCAAUAUUACAAGCAUUUUUACUCAAUAAAGUGACAUUUGUUGAAGUAGAAUUGCUGAUGAAGAACGGAACACCUCAACGACUUCCAGAUUCUUUAUUUUUAUUACUCUUCUUCCUUUUUCAUUAUUCUUAGAACAGGUAUUUCUACGAAGUGAACCGAACUGCUACUAUUAAAAGUAGCUAGGUAGGUAGGUUAAAUAGGUUAAAACUGUAAGGAUUAUUAUGUAUAAGUAGUUUCUUUUAAUUAAACAUAGGUAAGUAAUUCUAUUUAAGUAUAAGUAUCUUUAAAAAAAACAUCAAUCGACUCUUAUCUGUCACUAGUUCCAGUUUCAGAGUAUAAAAUCCGGGUACACAGCCACGGCUAGCCGGGUAGCCAGACAGUUCGAAUACGGAUACGGACAAGUUAUUGUGAAUAAAAAAAUCUUAUCGUCUUGCAAAAGUUAAUGUCAUAAAUGUAUAGGUUUCGAAUACAUGAAUAUAAAGUGAAAAUGCUGGUAAAAGUAUUAGUUUUUAUCAUUAACCAUUUUAUAUCCCAACAAAACUGUUACCCUUACAAAAAUAAAAUGCAAUAAUCAAAGCUUGUACUAUGGGUACUAGGCGACGUUAAACAUACUUAUUUAGAUAAAUAUAUAUUUACGUAUAUACAUAGAAAACACGCAAGCCUUAGGAACAAAUAUCUGUAUUCAUCACACAAAGAAAUGCCCUUACGCGAUUCAAACUCGGGACCAUCGGCUUCAUAGGCAGGGUCACUACCCACUAGGCCAAACCGGUCGGCAAAAGGUAAAGAUAAUUAGGUAAAGACAAUGAAUAAUUAAACGUAUUAUAAAUUGACACCAAUAUCCAUCAAAUAGUAUAACUAGGUAUGCUAAGAGUGGGCUUCAGGCCAUUACGUCGCACCUUUAGAAUUAAAUUAAUUUGACUCAAAAAGUACGACUACUUUAUAUAAUAUAUAAAUGUUACUACCAAACUACAUAUUAUGUAGUUUGGUAGAACAGUAAGAACUCACUAUAUGUGUCUCUUUUUCAUGCGGUGAAAUCCCCCCCACCCGGAAAGGAUAGCGACGCCCAUUUUAUCGACUCUCGAGUCGACUCCAAUCUGAUACUAAUAAAACCAUACGGAAAUAAUGAGGAUGCAUCGACAUAAGAAGAAUCGAACAUGGGCAAGAUAAAGUUCAAGAAAAAAGCAAAUAUAAUGUGUACUUGUGUGUAGUCAAAGAAAGUUGAAAAAUAAAGCAUAAUUAAUGGCCAUAGAAUACAGAACCGAUACACGAACAUUAAGACUAUUAAAAAUAGACAUAUAGGUUGAUCGUACUACUCGUACUAAUGUAUAUCUUUUGUUCAAUUAUAUUAUUGCAUUAAAGUUAGAUUCUCUAGAUAUAUAUUAUUCAUAGGUUCUGUAUUCUAUACGAAUUGUUUCAGUGUAAUUAUUGUACUAAAUACCGUUGACCGCCUGUCAACAGUAUUUAUUUCUACAUUACUAUCACAGAAGAUUUUAGGCCCUACCGUACAGUUUUUGAAUUAGUAUUUACUAUGGACAAAUAUAGCGAAAUGUGAGUUUUUACCUAAAA